rnacentral:lncRNA from 1 species
AUGCCCCGGGACGGAGGCUGUCCCAGAAGCCACAGCCCCAAGCCGCCGGUUCGCCUCUGGGAACAAGACCAGCAAACGCCCACAAAAAUGUUCCACACUCAGCAAGCCGCGAAGUCUACCCUUUCUGCGUUUUUAGAAUUUUGUUUAUUUCUCUUGGUUGUCUGGGUGCAAACGGACUCCUUUCUCUUCUCAAAUCGCUCCCGGCUGGUGCAGUCCAGGCAGCCCCACCCGUCUGUCACCCACCGCAGAGCCAAACCGCACUCCUCCCCGGGGGCCAGCAUCGCCCCGCCAGCGCAGCCUGGUCUCCUUUCCUCUCCUCCCAGCAAACACCUCAGGAGGUGCCAGCCCGCUCCACGCAUCAUCCAGGCCAAUGCCACACUUCAGCGUAACACCACUGUUCUGUCCAACGGGAGAAUCGACCCACACAGCCCAGGCAGCGGUGGGUUAGUUCGAAGGACCGCUGCGCAGGUGGGCAGACUGCAUCGAGGCCAGUUCCACACUCACGACCAGCGGAGGACAGCGGAGAGUGCCCGGCCCCACCCCGUGACACCCAGGGCAGCUGUCGGCUCUGAGCAGCUCUUGGCUGACCUCACCUCGUGUGUGUGUGUGUGAGAUUAAACCAGAGGCCUGUAGGACUGGAAGGACCCCGGGCGUGCUGCGUGUGUGCAGAGAGAUGUGCAUUGAGGAACCCUGGACACUUCCAGAGCAGAAGUGAUAAACCCGCCCCCAACCCCAUCACCCAAGCUCCCAGAUGCCCAUCCAGUGGUUGGGGGGGCAGCAAGUCACCGCCCCACUGUUGGAGGGGCACGGCCCUGGAAUAUAGAGAAUAUUACUGACCCCUGUCCUGACUCAACCUCCUGGGCCAGACGUUCAAUUGACAGGAGCAUAAGAAGUCUGUGAAGCCAAGCAGGGUGGCGCAGGCUUAUAAGCCUGGUGCUCUAGUAGGCUGAGGCAGGAGGGUCUCAAGUUGGAGCCCGACCCGGGCAACUGAGCAACUUAAGAUCUUGUGUCAAAUGUAAAAAGUAAAAAUAAGAAAAGAAUGGGGAUAUAGCUCAGUGCAGAGGCCCUGGGUUCAAUCCCCAGUACUGAAGAGAAAAAGAGAGAGAGAGAGGAGAGAGAGAAGAGCUGUGAGGACCCAGAGUGCAGACCUGCUCCUGGCAGGACAGUGGGGUCCGGGACUGGAAGACACCUGACCCCAGUGGCAGCCCUGGGCCCAGGAAACCUGAAGGAGGGGACCCCAAGCCAUGUUCCCGGGAACACCUCAGUCCCCAAGGGGACUUGGAGCCUGGAGCAGAACACAGGUGAGAGCCCAGAGGGUGCCAGCCCUUGGCCCCAGGCCACAAGUGCAGUGUGCGUGUGUGUGUGUGUGUGUGUGUGUGCGUGUGUGUGCGUGUGUGUGCGCACAGGUGUGCGUGAGCUGGGCCUUCUUCAUGCAAAGACAGAUCCAGCCUGGGAGUCCAGAAGCCAGGGCCGUACACCAGCUCGGCUGCUAAUUCACAAGGUAACAGGAAGUUCGUGUCCCACUGAUAGCUCACUUCCCUCAUCUUUAAAAUGGGUUGAGUCUGUUUUCUUCCUUUCUUUGUUUUUUGAGCCAAAGUUUCACUCUGUAGUUCAGGCUGGCCUUGAGUUCACUUAUGUAGCCCAGGCUGGCUUCGAACUCACUGUGAUUCUCCUGCCUCAGCCUCCCGAGUGCUGUUGGGAAUCACGUGGCCGUCUCGGAAGAGUUCUAAGAACUUGGUUGUGCCUCUGAGUCCUCAGAGGAGGAACCGAAGAUGCAGCCAGCAAGCCCAGGAGAGGUCUGGUGCAAAGGUUGGAGAGACACACGAACUCAGUGCAGAUCUUUCAAUGUGCAAAAUCACAAGCCAGCAGUCGCAGGCCGCACCCCAAAGGCGGUGCUGGUUCUCACACCUCGGUUUCCAAGGGUUCAAAGCAGAGUUCAGCAAGAGCUCUGGGGGCACCAUGUGAAGGGAUGCCAGCCGAGUGUGGGGGCGCAGCCUGCAGUCCCGGCCUUUGGGAGGCAGGAGGAUCACCACAAGCUCCAGGCCAGCCUGGACUGCAUCUCAAGACUCUCUGAAAAGCAAAAUGAAACCAAGAAACUGGUGGUCCUGCCUGUCUUUUCAGCCCCUUCCCUCCAACCUGAUCCCAGCCUCCACAUCACACGAGGCCCCUGGUGACCGCACACUGCCCCCUAUUCCACUCUCCGGGGGCCAUGCAGCAGCCCAUUCCAGCCCCAAGAGCAGGACACAGGCGUUACCCCUUAGGGGG